rnacentral:tRNA from 1 species
UGGUGGUUCAGCAGUAGAAUUCUUGCCUUCCAUGUGAGAGACCUAGGUUCAAUUCCCAGCCA